AUUCGGCUGAUGAGUCCCGGAUAGGACGAAAAUCACAUCCUGAAU
rnacentral:hammerhead_ribozyme from 1 species